rnacentral:lncRNA from 1 species
UACACUCUUAUUUACAUAACUUGAUGGAUAUCAUUAAUCGAUACAUCAAAAUGCCAUAGUCUUUCUAUACUUUGCUAUAUUUCAAAAGAUGACCGACAUCUCUUCCAACAGUCAUAUACUUAAAGUCCAUCGAUCAGUGUCGGCGUUCAAAAGUUCCUUCCUCUGCUAUCCUCCUCCUCGCGGCCAUAUCCAACCACUCGGACCAUCUACUGGUGGCGGUGGCGGCAGAGGUAUGUUGUCUAGUCUGAAACGUUAGUCUCCAAACGGGGUGAGUACAACCACUCAGCAGUAAAAGAUUCAUCAAGCUAUAUCAAGCAUUACUAUUAAUAUCCAUAUUCAAGUAUGGUAGACAAAAUAGGCAAUCCAUAAAUGAGUAUGCAUCCCAACCAUAUAACUCUUCGAUGCAAUGACUAGUGCAUUUCCAACCAAUAAGAUGCAUCGUGUCCAGCCACACAAGUCCCGAUCAUGGGGCCAAACUGUGAUGACAUGUCCCAUUCCAUGCCUUACAAUUUAGUCCCAUAACCAGACCACACUCACACUUAAUAUAAUCAUCCGUUUUAUCAUUCAAAAGGUUUCAUCCCCCAGAGGACCAAUGUUUGCAUCCUUCUGGGAUUCCGCACCCAACCUGGCAUCGCGGAAGCCUCCGGGCAUGUAUUCAAAAUACAACCAGGCAUCCAAAGGGCAUCGGCUCAUUCGAACCUCUGGGCAUCUCGCACCCCACCUGGCAUCACGAGGAAUCACUGGGGACCAUAGACAUGGUUACCCCUAACCUUCGAGCAUGCAUCAUAAUACAACCCCUCACCCUCCGAGCAUGUAUCAUAAUACAACCGGGCAUCUCGACACUCCCGGGAAAAACCUUUGGGCAUGUAUUCAUAAUACAACCAGACAUCCAAAGGGCAUCGACUCAUUCGAACCUUUGGGCAUCCCGACUCCCGGGGCAUCGUUGACCCGAGGGUUCAACGGUAACAGUUUAGCAUUUUAAUUCACAAAAUAUUCUCAAAUGCUAAAACAAGACGUCUCAUGGACUCUCUAUCACAUCUCAAUAUUGCACAAAUAUUUACAGCCAUUACCAUCAUAUCACAUAGCCAUUCGAAAUACCUUCACUUUCGGAUACUUUUGUAAAAUUCAAGAGCAGAAUAGUCCAAUUUUUACAAUGCACAGUUCUGGUAGGAAUUUUGAAAUAAAUACUAAAUGGACUCAGAAAAUUACGAAAGUUUGACAUGUUAUCAAUGAGACCUAAAGGAACAAAUUUCAUGAAGAGCACAAAGUCAAAUUCCAUACACAUCGAGAGUAAAAACUUCGGUAUUUCUUGCUACAGUUUCUGUAAAAUUUCCAGACUUAGCAUUUCCGUAUGAAAAUCAUUUAGUCGGCAAAAUCUUGUCCAUUUAUGCUAAAUUUUUUAUAUGUUACUCUCACAGAUGUGUUCUCCAACUUUUGUUAAGACUUCGAAAUCAGAUUUUGGCUAGAAAAUUCCAGAAAAAUCGAGAAAUCACUGAUGGUCAUGCUGUUCUUGCGAAAACAGUUUACUAGCCUAAAGAGGACUCUUCCUAUACUUUGAGUUUCAGUAUCCAACUUCCACAACCAAGAUUUAGAAGCACGUUACACCACAAUACAGCCUCUUUACUUCUCAAAAAUUCACCAUAGCUAAAUCCUUGAGUUCUCAUUUCAAUUUAAAAGCAAAAUCCACCAGAAACUUGCUCCAAUACCUCGGCCAGCUUCAUCUCAUUCAUCACAAACAACAUGCAGCUCCAAAUCUCACAUUUUCUCACAUCUACCCACUCUUCACUAGAUAAAACAGCAAGCAAAACAUAGGUUGAAGAACUUCUACUUGCCUUAAACUCUCUCACUCGGUGGCUGUCCGAAAAUGGAGGUUCGGGGGUCGCGGCUUGACCGGUCGGCGACGGGAACCGGUGGCGAGGCGGCGGCAGCUCGAGCACGGCAGAAGGUGGUCCCUUCUUCUUCUUCGCCGUUCACCCACCUGCUGCUCACUCGCGAAUUUCCUCGCUCGAUAUCUCUCUCUCUCUCGGUUCUGCUCGGUCACUCUCUUUAGUUCACUUUCACGAGCAGAUUAGCUGCUGGUUUUGCUAAAAACCAGCCAACAAAGAGGGGGAUUUUCGGUGGAUGCAUGCAUGGAGGACAGGUGGAAGAAGUGUGUCUCCAGCUGGGUUUUCUUGACCUUCGCUGGUUGCUCC